rnacentral:rRNA from 1 species
GAUGAUCGCUGGCGGCGUGCCUAAUACAUGCAAGUCGAGCGAAUGGAUUAAGAGCUUGCUCUUAUGAAGCUAGCGGCGGACGGGUGAGUAACACGUGGGUAACCUGCCCAUAAGACUGGGAUAACUCCGGGAAACCGGGGCUAAUACCGGAUAACAUUUUGAACCGCAUGGUUCGAAAUUGAAAGGCGGCUUCGGCUGUCACUUAUGGAUGGACCCGCGUCGCAUUAGCUAGUUGGUGAGGUAACGGCUCACCAAGGCAACGAUGCGUAGCCGACCUGAGAGGGUGAUCGGCCACACUGGGACUGAGACACGGCCCAGACUCCUACGGGAGGAAGCAGUAGGGAAUCUUCCGCAAUGGACGAAAGUCUGACGGAGCAACGCCGCGUGAGUGAUGAAGGCUUUCGGGUCGUAAAACUCUGUUGUUAGGGAAGAACAAGUGCUAGUUGAAUAAGCUGGCACCUUGACGGUACCUAACCAGAAAGCCACGGCUAACUACGUGCCAGCCGCCGCAGUAA